rnacentral:misc_RNA from 1 species
UGUAUGAUAUCGACAAAAAGGAGAAGCAUCAAGCUAUUUAAGCCAUUAGACGAUUGAAAGAAAGUCAUGUAUGUAAAACUUUUCCGUUAAAUCACAAAGUAAAAUUUGUACUUUUGUACGUCACUUUAAACAUUGUGACAGGCUAUCAAUGCCAAAAACACAUUAAUGCUUCUCCUUUUUGUCGAUAUCAUACAGCACACAAACAUCAGCUGCUGUCUUCAUCUGAAUGACAUUUACGGUUUGCUUGAUUGCCCAUCCAAACAAACUUAAGCCAAGUAGGAAAGAGAUAAGUGAGCACUCUUUAAUAGAUUCUAUAGAGACAUCCAUCAAAUUUUCAUUCUCUUUUUUCGCAAUGAGAAAUAAUAUUAUAUACAGAACCUCACAUGCUGCACAGCAAUAAGCCAUGAACAUCCGGUUUCCAUAGUAAGCCUUGAAAAGCCAAUUAGAGCUGUCUUUCACAUCUUUAUGGCUAGAUUUGCCUAACAAGAAUGUGCUGUACAUCUGCAGCC